UACGUAGGGGGCGAGCGUUGUCCGGAUUUAUUGGGCGUAAAGGGCAUGUAGGCGGUCUGUCAAGUCGGCUGUGCAAGCGCUCGGCUCAACUGAGCGAGGUCGGACGAAACUAGCAGACUGGAGGGCAGUAGAGGGAGAUGGAAUUCCCCGAGUAGUGGUGAUAUGCGUAGAGACGGGGAGGAACACCAGUGGCGAAGGCGGUCUCCUGGGCUGACCCUGACGCUGAGAUGCGAAGGCGUGGGGAGCGAAC
rnacentral:rRNA from 1 species